UACGUAGGGGGCAAGCGUUGUCCGGAUUUAUUGGGCGUAAAGAGCGUGUAGGCGGCCUUACAGGUCAGCUGUGAAAACUCGAGGCUCAACCUCGAGACGUCGGUUGAAACCGUAUGGCUAGAGUCCGGAAGAGGAGAGUGGAAUUCCCGGUGUAGCGGUGAAAUGCGCAGAUAUCGGGAAGAACACCCGUGGCGAAGGCGGUUCUCUGGGCCUGACCUGACGCUGAGGAGCGAAAGCGUGGGGAGCGAACAGG
rnacentral:rRNA from 1 species